UCUCAAUAAAGUUAAUGGAAUAGAAUUCGACAAGAUUAAAGUUGAAAUCUCUAAAAGACAGCAGUUAUCUCCCGAAUUUGCAGCUAUCAACCCUUUCAAGAAACUCCCUGCUAUUGUUGAUGAAAGGUUCAAGCUAUUCGAGAGUCACGCAAUUCUUAUCUAUCUUGCUUCUGCCUUUCCUGGUAUUGCUGAUCAUUGGUUGGUAUUAUCCCCUUUUCACUUAUUUAAUCACAAUAAUUUUCUUAUGACUCCACAGAUAUGUGAAUGACCACAGCGUUAGGUACUUGGUUGUCACAUCUGCGUCACUUAAAUUAAACGGAAAAUCUUCUUCUUUUCA